UAUCAACAUGGGAGAGCUUUGAGUUC
rnacentral:piRNA from 1 species